AAAUUGAAGAGUUUGAUCAUGGCUCAGAUUGAACGCUGGCGGCAGGCCUAACACAUGCAAGUCGAACGGUAACAGGAAGAAGCUUGCUUCUUUGCUGACGAGUGGCGGACGGGUGAGUAAUGUCUGGGAAACUGCCUGAUGGAGGGGGAUAACUACUGGAAACGGUAGCUAAUACCGCAUAACGUCGCAAGACCAAAGAGGGGGACCUUCGGGCCUCUUGCCAUCGGAUGUGCCCAGAUGGGAUUAGCUAGUAGGUGGGGUAACGGCUCACCUAGGCGACGAUCCCUAGCUGGUCUGAGAGGAUGACCAGCCACACUGGAACUGAGACACGGUCCAGACUCCUACGGGAGGCAGCAGUGGGGAAUAUUGCACAAUGGGCGCAAGCCUGAUGCAGCCAUGCCGCGUGUAUGAAGAAGGCCUUCGGGUUGUAAAGUACUUUCAGCGGGGAGGAAGGGAGUAAAGUUAAUACCUUUGCUCAUUGACGUUACCCGCAGAAGAAGCACCGGCUAACUCCGUGCCAGCAGCCGCGGUAAUACGGAGGGUGCAAGCGUUAAUCGGAAUUACUGGGCGUAAAGCGCACGCAGGCGGUUUGUUAAGUCAGAUGUGAAAUCCCCGGGCUCAACCUGGGAACUGCAUCUGAUACUGGCAAGCUUGAGUCUCGUAGAGGGGGGUGGAAUUCCAGGUGUAGCGGUGAAAUGCGUAGAGAUCUGGAGGAAUACCGGUGGCGAAGGCGGCCCCCUGGACGAAGACUGACGCUCAGGUGCGAAAGCGUGGGGAGCAAACAGGAUUAGAUACCCUGGUAGUCCACGCCGUAAACGAUGUCGACUUGGAGGUUGUGCCCUUGAGGCGUGGCUUCCGGAGCUAACGCGUUAAGUCGACCGCCUGGGGAGUACGGCCGCAAGGUUAAAACUCAAAUGAAUUGACGGGGGCCCGCACAAGCGGUGGAGCAUGUGGUUUAAUUCGAUGCAACGCGAAGAACCUUACCUGGUCUUGACAUCCACGGAAGUUUUCAGAGAUGAGAAUGUGCCUUCGGGAACCGUGAGACAGGUGCUGCAUGGCUGUCGUCAGCUCGUGUUGUGAAAUGUUGGGUUAAGUCCCGCAACGAGCGCAACCCUUAUCCUUUGUUGCCAGCGGUCCGGCCGGGAACUCAAAGGAGACUGCCAGUGAUAAACUGGAGGAAGGUGGGGAUGACGUCAAGUCAUCAUGGCCCUUACGACCAGGGCUACACACGUGCUACAAUGGCGCAUACAAAGAGAAGCGACCUCGCGAGAGCAAGCGGACCUCAUAAAGUGCGUCGUAGUCCGGAUUGGAGUCUGCAACUCGACUCCAUGAAGUCGGAAUCGCUAGUAAUCGUGGAUCAGAAUGCCACGGUGAAUACGUUCCCGGGCCUUGUACACACCGCCCGUCACACCAUGGGAGUGGGUUGCAAAAGAAGUAGGUAGCUUAACCUUCGGGAGGGCGCUUACCACUUUGUGAUUCAUGACUGGGGUGAAGUCGUAACAAGGUAACCGUAGGGGAACCUGCGGUUGGAUCACCUCCUUA
rnacentral:rRNA from 1 species